rnacentral:misc_RNA from 1 species
UGAAAUACUUUGGCAAUACACCUGUAAAAGGCAAGAACCUUGGAUAAGCCUGCUUGACUUCCAAAACAUUGAUAUGUUAUCAAAGCUUUCAUGUCUCAUUUUAAGUUUUGCUCAACAAUCUCAACUAAGAUUUGCUGGAUCAGCAACUAUACUAAAUCCAACCUCAAAAUUUCUCAGCUAAAAGCUUUGACAAUUGACAGAUACA